rnacentral:rRNA from 1 species
CACGUGAGGAACCUGCCCCAGACUCUGGAAUAACCCCGGGAAACCGGAGCUAAUACCGGAUACGACACACCCUCGCAUGGGGAGUGUGUGGAAAGUUUUUCGGUCUGGGAUGGCCUCGCGGCCUAUCAGCUUGUUGGUGAGGUAGUGGCUCACCAAGGCGACGACGGGUAGCCGGCCUGAGAGGGCGACCGGCCACACUGGGACUGAGACACGGCCCAGACUCCUACGGGAGGCAGCAGUGGGGAAUUUUGGACAAUGGGCGCAAGCCUGAUCCAGCCAUGCCGCGUGCGGGAAGAAGGC